AAAAAUAAAGGGGGAGGGGAGAAAAGAAAAGGUGAGAAUCUUAGCUGGUCAUAGUGAGGUACAACAUUCAUGCCAGCAUUUGAAAAGCAGAGGAAGGCUCUUACAGGAUUGAGGCCUACAAAGUGUCUUCAAGACAGUCAGGGAUGCUUACACUAAGAAACUAUGUAUGAAAAGAAUAAAUGUAAGAAAGAAAGAAAGAAAGUAAGAAAGAAAGAAAGAAAGAAAGAAAGGAAGGAAGGAAGGAAGGAAGAAGAAAAGAAAAAAGAAAAAGAUAAAGAAAGAGAAAAAAGGCAAACUUAGGAGGUCGUUUUAGUUGAUUGAAGAAAUCAUUUCUCUGUGUAGGCAGGCAGGCAGGCAGGCAGCCAUAAUUGUUUGGUUUCUUUUGGUUUGAUAGACAGACAGACAGACAGACAGACAGACAGACUCACAAACACAGAAUAAUAAAAUCACGUCCUCAAUAAUUAUGGCCAGGAGUGGUGUUUGUGUGUGUGUUGCACACGCUCACGUGUUUGUUUGUACGUCUGUCUGUCUGUCUGUCUGUCUGUCUGUCUGUCUGUCUGUGCAGAACUGCAUAUGUCCCAGGACCUAUCACUCAGGGCCACAAUUCAGGUUCCAGUGCUGAACAGUGACCUAGAGUGAAGAUCCUACAGGGUUUUUAAUGCACAAACAUCUAUACCAAGUUAUUCCACCAAUCUGGAUUAGGGAUAGGGGAAUUCCUUAGGAACAUGUCCUUGUUGUAUACUUAUCCUGCUCCCAUUAAUUGGGGUACUCUACUGUGGCAAGGGUACUUGCCAUGUCUUAACUUGAAAACCAGAAAGUCAGUUGUGCAUGUACAAGUCUCUUUCUUCCAAGUAAGAUGUCAGUUCCCAGGGAGGCCUCAAGAACUUAUACUUUACUCACUCACACCCUACUCAAAAUAGAAGUCUGGUUCGAAGUAGUCUCUGCACUGAAUCGGUGGUGCGGGUGUCUCUCUUUUGUUGGGGUGCGGGGGUCCGUCCCCAGGGCAGCUUCUAAGAGCAAAUGCCAGAAAAGUGUAUACAUGGGUUUGUGCAGGAAAUGCUGCUGGGUGGUCAGUUUGGGUCCAAGCCUAUUGCAGAUAACUAUAGAACAAAGGAAGCUUCUAUUCUGAUUGGUUUCCGAGGACACAUCCAACAAGAAUAUGUAGUCAAUUCUGGCAAUAAUGGCAGAAACAAGCUAUGAGAAAGUGUCCUUAUAAUAGUAGUUAACAGCACAAAAUGGCAGGCUAGCCAGGUAAGAGGUUACCUAGGCCUUAUCUAAUCUGAAGUAGGCCUUCACAUUCCAUCUAGGCCUUAAUAUUUUACCUAUACCUUAACAGCCAGCAGUUUUGCCCUCUGAGCCAUCGCACAUGCAUGUUCAGAUCAAUGAAUAUCUUUCUCUGUAUUCAUUUAUUUAUGAGAGACAAAGUCUCUGUACAUGGUGCAAAAACAUACAAGACAGACCAGGCCGGCCUCUCAAGUAAGUUCUGCCUCUGCCUCUUCCCAGUGCUGAGAUCAAGACAGUGUUUUUCUGUGUUGCCCUCGCUGUCCUGGAACUUACUCUGUAGACCAGGCUGGCUUGGAACGCAGAAAUUUGUCUGCCUCUGCCUACAAAGUAGUAGGUAGGACUAAAGGCAUGUUACACCACUGCCCGGCAGUCUAUUACUUUUCAAUGCCAGAUGAAUCCAUUCUUGUACAUUUUCGGGUUGGUUUGUUAGUUGAUUUUAUGUUGUUUUUCUGGAGGUGUGGUGGCCUACCACCUACACAAGCUCAGGCAUGAGAAAUAAAUAAGUAAAGACCUCUGAAACACAAAUCUGGGGUUGGUACUAGCUGGCCAUGGAAACACAUACACACACACACACACACACACACACACACACACACACACACACACACGGCGUAUUCAUUUACAAGCAGCUACAUCCUCACCUGUGGGGGAGAGGGACCUGAAAUAGUUUCCACAGCCUUUUUAUUGGUGGUGAUGGUAGUGAUGGUUAGGAUUCCUUCUUUCUUUCUUUCUUUCUUUCUUUCUUUCUUUCUUUUUUUUUUUUUUUUUUUUGGAGACAGGGUUUCUCUGGGUACUCCUGGAACUCACUUUGUGGACCAGGAAUGACAUGAAUACUUCGAUAUAUACAUACAUACAAAGACACAUAUUUUUAAAAAGAGAAUUAGAGUAGAGCUGGGGCAAUUGUGGAACACACCUUUAACCUCAGGCAGAUUUCUGCGUUCAAGGUCACCUUGGAUUACAAGGCAGCUAGGGCUACACAGAGAAACCAUAUCUCAAAAAAAAGAAAAAAAUAAUGAAAGAAAGAAAGGAAGGAAGGAAGGAAGGAAGGAAGGAAGAAAGGAAGGUAGGAAGAAAGGUAUUUUCUAAAAAAAAAAAAAAAAAAAAAUUAGUCAGGGCAGUGGUGGCAGAUGCUUUUAAUCCCAGCAUUUGGGAAGCAGAGGCAGACAGAUUAAAGUGUUCAAGGCCAGCCUGGUCUACACAGUGAUAAACAAAAAUA